rnacentral:rRNA from 1 species
UACGGAGGGAGCUAGCGUUGUUCGGAAUUACUGGGCGUAAAGCGCACGUAGGCGGCUUUCUAAGUCAGGGGUGAAAUCCCGGGGCUCAACCCCGGAACUGCCCUUGAAACUGGAUGGCUAGAAUCCUGGAGAGGCGAGUGGAAUUCCGAGUGUAGAGGUGAAAUUCGUAGAUAUUCGGAAGAACACCAGUGGCGAAGGCGGCUCACUGGCCCGGUACUGACGCUGAGGUGCGAAAGCGUGGGGAGCAAACAGG